rnacentral:rRNA from 1 species
UACGAAGGGGGCAAGCGUUGUUCGGAAUUACUGGGCGUAAAGGGCGCGUAGGCGGCUUAUCAAGUCAGGCGUGAAAUUCACGGGCUCAACCUGGGGGCUGCGCUUGAUACUGAUUGGCUUGAAUGCGGGAGAGGAUAGUGGAAUUCCCAGUGUAGAGGUGAAAUUCGUAGAUAUUGGGAAGAACACCGGUGGCGAAGGCGGCUAUCUGGCCCGUAAUUGACGCUGAGGCGCGAAAGCGUGGGGAGCAAACAGG